UACGUAGGCAGCGAGCGUUGUUCGGAGUUACUGGGCGUAAAGAGUGCGUAGGCGGUGCGGUAAGUCUGGUGUGAAAUCUCCCGGCUCAACUGGGAGGGUGCGCUAGAAACUGCCGUGCUUGAGUGUGGGAGAGGUAAGCGGAAUUCCUGGUGUAGCGGUGAAAUGCGUAGAUAUCAGGAGGAACACCGGUGGCGAAGGCGGGUCUCUGGGCCGAUACUGACGCUGAGGAGCGAAAGCGUGGGGAGCGAACAGG
rnacentral:rRNA from 1 species